rnacentral:rRNA from 1 species
GUCCAGACUCCUACGGGAGGCAGCAGUGGGGAAUAUUGCACAAUGGGGGGAACCCUGAUGCAGCGAUGCCGCGUGGAGGAAGAAGGUUUUCGGAUUGUAAACUCCUUUUAUCAGGGACGAUAAUGACGGUACCUGAAGAAAAAGCUCCGGCUAACUACGUGCCAGCAGCCGCGGUAAUACGUAGGGAGCGAGCGUUGUCCGGAAUUACUGGGUGUAAAGGGAGCGUAGGCGGGACGGCAAGUCAGAUGUGAAAACUGAGGGCUCAACUUUCAGACUGCAAUUGAAACUGCUGUUCUUGAGUGAAGUAGAGGUAAGCGGAAUUCCUAGUGUAGCGGUGAAAUGCGUAGAUAUUAGGAAGAACACCGGUGGCGAAGGCGGCUUUCUGGACAGAAACUGACAUUGAGGCACGAAAGUGUGGGGAGCAAACAGGAUUAGAUACCCCGGUAUU